UACGUAGGGUGCAAGCGUUGUCCGGAAUUAUUGGGCGUAAAGAGCUCGUAGGCGGUCUGUCACGUCGGCUGUGAAAACCCGGGGCUCAACCCCGGGCCUGCAGUCGAUACGGGCAGACUAGAGUGCGGUAGGGGAGACUGGAAUUCCUGGUGUAGCGGUGAAAUGGGCAGAUAUCAGGAGGAACACCGGUGGCGAAGGCGGGUCUCUGGGCCGUAACUGACGCUGAGGAGCGAAAGCGUGGGGAGCGAACAGG
rnacentral:rRNA from 1 species